GUCUUUUGAUUGUUACUUUAAGACUUACAUUGUCGUGACUUAAGUAUAGACUUCUGACAGUCUUUUGAUUGUUACUUUAAGACUUACAUUGUCGUGACUUAAGUAUAGACUUCUGGCAGUCUUAUGAUUGUUACUUUAAGACUUACAUUGUCGUGACUUAAGUAUAGACUUCUGGCAUCUUAUGAUCAUUACUCUAAGACUUACAUUAUCCUAACUUUAAUAGUUUAAUACAGACUUAUGACAAUGGUAGCCCUAAAAUAAUCGUUAGUCUGAUACUUUUAAAGAGACUAAGGCCAUUGUAACCUCAGUCCUUUUAUACUGAUUUAAGACAUCGUAACCUAAAUACUUUACUUCAGACAUGACAGUCCUGGUGCCGAGAUAUUUUUGGUGGAAUGGGUCCGGGGCGCUUUACCUGAAGAACAUUACUAAUGUUAAUGGGGAUUUAGUCAUGUUACCAUGGUUACAAGAAGGUACAUCUCCGACUGUCAGUCAUAGUUCUAGUCUCAAGUCACCCUCUGCACUGCAGACAAGGAUAAGCAUUGGGGUGUGUUCCGCACUGACUUGACCAAUCGCUCGGUGGUUUAGUUAACUGGUAUGAAGUCUGUAAUUGGCUCCGAGUUGAGCAUCUUGUAUUGUAUACAUUAUAUAUCAUGUGUGGUUUUCAAUAUUCACAGUCAUCCUUUUUGUAGUAUCAAGUUUUUUGUGUGUUUUUGUAUUAUUUCCAUCAUCCACUGAUGUCAGGUUACCAUGGUUACCAUGUAGAUGUGAUUAUACCAUGAUCAGUUGAGUGGAAAGCAUUGUGUACAUUCAGCUGUGUAAAGGAUUUAGUAACUGCUGUAAAAUAUGUUAGCAUGGUUGCUUUUCAGGUCAGGAAAAUAUUGUUGGUAACCUGACUUCAGUAUGAUACAGUUUUACUUUCAACUAGUCUUGUUGCGAUAUUACACUCACAGUCAUCAGGCGGAUGUCACGUCUUCCACUAAUGUACUGCUAACACUUUGUAACAUUCAUGCAUGUGUCCCUUAUCCCACAAUGCUAAGACAAAACGCCAACAUUUGCAAAACCUUUUCUGUAAAAAUGAAUGACAAUGAAAUAAGUAUUUCAGCUGUGUCAUUUAUGAAUGCUUACAGUCGUGGUAGAAUCUCGAAUAUCAGAGUCAUCUUUCAGCAUCUACGUCUCACGACCUUAACUCUUAUGUUUUUACUGUCUUAAUGUGUAGGAUUCAACCUGCAUCGAUGUAACAUACUUUGAGCUUAUGAUCUUAUUGCCCCUCCCUGCCAAGCCACUGAAUUCACAAACCGAUAACAACUUCCACCUAUAGGGUGGAAAUGCGCCUAAAUUAACAACCCGAUACUUGACUACAUAUUACUGGAUCCUACCCAGGUAUGUACUGUAGGUGUUUUAAUUUGGGUACAAAUGUCAGAUUGAGAAUUAUUUUACCAAGGCCCUGCCUUAAGCUAUUCAGACACAUGCGUGAACAAUUUGACUGAAAACUUUAUCUUCAGUCAACAUGAAAGUCAGAAGGAAGGUAUUGUUACUAUGGAGUUUAACAAUAUAUUGCAGGUCAUGUGACUAACCUGGGACCAUGUCACGUGACUUACUCCCGACUCACACGAACUGAGUACCCGAUUCGUCUGUCCCAGCCCCGUUCCAUACUCCACAGUGUUCAUAGCUAAGGCCAGACCAGUUUUAUUUCUUGUUUUACGGAUCCGCCAGUCAUAUUUUUUCAAGAAUAAGAAAAAAAUUUUUAAUAAUUUUCCCUGCUCAAAAAAUAGAAUCCUCGUGUUUUUAUUGGACAAAAAUGUAACCUUACACAAAAAAAAAUUUUGAUUGUUUUUUGCCCCAUACAAACUUCACAAAUUGCCCAAAAUAAAAUACUUUUAGUAUUUAAAAGGAAAAUUAUUUUGACUAGUGAUGUUUAUUUUUUUCCCUCCUGCCUUUUGGUUUUCUGAGGACAAAAAUCCGUAAAACAAGAAAUAAAAAUGGUCUGGCCUAAAUAAUGUUCCGACAAACUGAUCUAAUAUUUCCACAUUUUGAUGCACUUGAUAUUAGUUGUGUAGACAACUCAUUGCUGAUCAAAGCAUUUCUUACCCUGAACUCCCAAAUAAUUCAUUAAUUCUGAAAAGUUUAAGCAAAAAAAUAUGUUAUUUUUGCCACAGGUAACAGGAACCUUACUCUGUUUACCUCAUACAAGUUUCCUGACAACUACUUCAGUGCCACCAGUUCACUACUACUGUGUGGAGAGCGAUGAUUGUAGUGUUUUGUUGUUGUGCAUCUGUCUGUUCAUUCGUUCCCUCCACAGUUCUUCAAUUCCAGCAUUUAUUUUAUCUUUUUUAGCAGAUGUUUCAUUUGAAGGUUUUAACUGUGAUAUUUUUGUACAAACUGUAACAUUUUAACUUGCUCACGACAUGGUUGUAAUGUAUGGCAAUUAAAAUUGUCUAUCUUCAACAA